GCCUCUGUAGCUCAGUUGGUAGAGCAGAGGACUGAAAAUCCUCGUGUCGUUGGUUCGAUUCCGACCGGAGGC
rnacentral:tRNA from 1 species